rnacentral:lncRNA from 1 species
AGAACUACAAUGGUUCUGAUGGAUAGCCUGUGAGAGGCCCAGGCUGCCUGUUUGUAUAUAAGAGCAGUCAUUUGUCUUUCCUGUAGCCCAGCCGCUCUCUCCGACUAGUACAUGUCCCUGGGCCUGGAAAUAAUUGAUUUCCCCCUCCAGGAUGGAGAAGCUGUCUUCAUUAUAGUAUGGGGAUUCUAGUGGAGGGAUAUAGGUAGGAUGGAGAAGCUGUCUUCAUUAUAGUAUGGGGAUUCUAGUGGAGGGAUAUAGGUAGGAUGGAGAAGCUGUCUUCAUUAUAGUAUGGGGAUUCUAGUGGGGGGAUAUAGGUAGGAUGGAGAAGCUGUCUUCAUUAUAGUAUGGGGAUUCUAGUGGAGGGAUAUAGGUAGCAC